CCUACGGGAGGCAGCAGUGGGGAAUAUUGCACAAUGGGCGCAAGCCUGAUGCAGCCAUGCCGCGUGUGUGAAGAAGGCCUUCGGGUUGUAAAGCACUUUCAGCGGGGAGGAAGGCGAUAAGGUUAAUAACCUUGUCGAUUGACGUUACCCGCAGAAGAAGCACCGGCUAACUCCGUGC
rnacentral:rRNA from 1 species